rnacentral:pre_miRNA from 1 species
GGAAAUUAAGAAAAUGUUUCUUAACUUUUAACUAAAAAAACUAAGAACCAGUUCUUAAAUAAGGACUUUAAGAACCGGUUCUUAGUUUUUUUAGUUAAAAGUUAAGAAACAUUUUCUUAAUUUCC